rnacentral:rRNA from 1 species
UUUCCCUACGGGGCGCAGCAGUGGGGGAUAUUGCACAAUGGGGGGAACCCUGAUGCAGCGACGCCGCGUGAACGAAGAAAUAUUUCGGUAUGUAAAGUUCUAUCAGCAGGGAAGAAAAUGACAGUACCUGACCAAGAAGCCCCGGCUAACUACGUGCCAGCAGCCGCGGUAAUACGUAGGGGGCGAGCGUUAUCCGGAUUCACUGGGCGUAAAGGGAGCGUAGGCGGUUUAGCAAGUCAGAAGUGAAAGCCCGGGGCUCAACUCCGGGACUGCUUUUGAAACUGUUGAACUAGAUUGCAGGAGAG